CUUGGUCAUUUAGAGGAAGUAAAAGUCGUAACAAGGUCUCCGUAGGUGAACCUGCGGAGGGAUCAUUACAAGUGACCCCGGGCUAACCACCGGGAUGUUCAUAACCCUUUGUUGUCCGACUCUGUUGCCUCCGGGGCGACCCUGCCUCCGGGCGGGGGCUCCGGGUGGACACUUCAAACUCUUGCGUAACUUUGCAGUCUGAGUAAACUUAAUUAAUAAAUUAAAACUUUCAACAACGGAUCUCUUGGCUCUCGCAUCGAUGAAGAACGCAGCGAAAUGCGAUAAGUAAUGUGAAUUGCAGAAUUCAGUGAAUCAUCGAAUCUUUGAACGCACCUUGCGCCUUUUGGUAUUCCGAAAGGCAUGCCUGUUUGAGUGUCAUGAAAUCUCAAUCCCCCCGGGUUUUCUGAACCCGAGGUGGACUUGGACAUGGGUGUCUGCCGUCUCGUACGGCUCGCCUUAAAUGACUCAGUGGGAUCUUCAGCAUCCGUGGCAGACGUAAUAAGUUUCGUCUCGUCCCUUGCUGUGAGGACCGCUCAUAACCUGCCAUCGCGCACCACUUUUGACUCUGACCUCAAAUCAGGUAGGACUACCCGCUGAACUUAAGCAUAUCAAUAAGGGGAGG
rnacentral:rRNA from 1 species